CCUACGGGCGGCAGCAGUGGGGAAUAUUGCACAAUGGGGGAAACCCUGAUGCAGCGACGCCGCGUGAGUGAAGAAGCGUUUCGGCGCGUAAAGCUCUGUCAGCGGGGAAGAAACACGGUUCGCGAGAGCCGCGGACGGUACCUGACUAAGAAGCCCCGGCUAACUACGUGCCAGCAGCCGCGGUAAUACGUAGGGGGCAAGCGUUAUCCGGAUUUACUGGGGGUAAAGGGAGCGUAGACGGCGAUGCAAGUCUGAAGUGAAAGGCGGGGGCCCAACCCCCGGACUGCUGUGGAAACUGUAUGGCUGGAGUGCAGGAGAGGUAAGUGGAAUUCCUAGUGUAGCGGUGAAAUGCGGAGAUAUUAGGAGGAACACCAGUGGCGAAGGCGGCUUACUGGACUGUAACUGACGUUGAGGCUCGAAAGCGUGGGGAGCAAACAGGAUUAGAUACCCUGGUAGUC
rnacentral:rRNA from 1 species